GGGCGGUUAGCUCAGUUGGCUAGAGCGCUACGUUGACAUCGUAGAGGUCAUUGGUUCGAGCCCAAUACCGCCCA
rnacentral:tRNA from 1 species